UACGUAGGCAGCAAGCGUUGUUUCGGAGUUACUGGGCGUAAAGGGUGCGUAGGCGGCUUUUAAGUUUGGUGUGAAAUCUCCCGGCUCAACUGGGAGGGUGCGCCGAAUACUGAGAGGCUAGAGUGUGGGAGAGGAAAGUGGAAUUCCUGGUGUAGCGGUGAAAUGCGUAGAUAUCAGGAGGAACACCGGUGGUGUAAACGGCUUUCUGGACCAUAACUGACGUGAUGCACGAAAAGCGUGGGGUAGCAAACAGG
rnacentral:rRNA from 1 species